UGGAAAGUGAGGAGCGUCUCUGCCCGGCCGCCAUCCCACCUAGGAAGUGAGGAGUGCCUCUUCCCGGCCGCCAUUCCAUCUAGGAAGUGAGAAGCGUCUCUGCCCGGCCGCCCAUCGUCUGAGAUGUGGGGAGCGCCUCUGCCCUGCUGCCCCGUCUAGGAUGUGAGGAGCGCCUCGGCCCGGCCACGACCCUGUCUGGGAGGAGGACAUUAAGAACUUCGGGCAGCAGCAUGCUGAGAGGAGGAGGUGGAAGAUGAAAGACCGUGCAGACCUUCCAUUGGGCGCCUGUUUCGGGGACAGCAGUGUGGGGAUAAACUGAGGACCUGUGUGUGUCCCCUCUGAAAAUGUGCCUGUGAGAAGAGGCCACUUGGGGAGGAACCCGGGUGUUCCUUGGCCUCUGGACCC
rnacentral:lncRNA from 10 species